GAUAGAAGUUCAUUAGUGUUUGUGAAUCUCACCUACACACGUGGUGCUGCAGUGGAGAUGCUCAGGACAGCAUGCCAGAGAAACCUGUGUUUUGCACACAGGCAGAGCCUCAGGAUGGGUCUCUGGGUUUCUUCAUCGCACAGCUCACUGCUGGACAGAGUAAGGAGCCAAUGGAGGGAUGCCAGUUUGGAGUUUCGAAAGACUGUUACUGUAACAGUUUGCUGACUUCCAAGGAGCAUGUCACGAUGAAUUGUUCUUGCCCAAAACAAAACAAGGAAUGCUAACGUUCACCUCAAGCAGCACUCUCCUGUGCUGAGAAAUGAAGCCAACGUGAAAUUUCCAAAAACUGCAGUUCAUCAAAUGGCCACUUGAGGCUGGCUCCAAAAGUGAAUCAAUCCCCAUAGAUCCCCAUGUUAAAAUGCCCAACUUUACAGU